rnacentral:lncRNA from 1 species
UCGAAGACUGACAAGUGCACAACACAAGGGAAUGUUAUUAUUGAUAUACAUGUGAAUAUCAUGCAGAGGCUACUUGCAAUUUGUACAGCAAAAGGUUGACCUCAUAGCCUUUAUCCUAUUUUCUUCAGAAGUGCUCCAGCUGGGGAUGCUGCAGAUCAUAUCAGAAAUGCUGGCGUAACCUAAACACCUGACAAAUAGGUUAACGCAGAGAUGAAGGCAGAUCACAGGCAAUUUAUACAGCAAAAGAUUGACAAGAGUCUUCGUUCUAUUUUUCUACAACAGUGCUCGAGGAGAUGUUGCAGUCACAACAAAAAGUGCUGCCAUAACUUGUCUUUUCAGGCUUAACUGAUGCACCUGUCAACGAAGGUGGAAUCUGAAUCUUAUUAUAUGAGGUUUGGUUUCAGGUUUAUGAUUUUUUUAAAAUAAAAGGGUUAUGUAAAAUGACAUCAAGAAUAUAGCAAAGACAUUACCUUACUGUUCCACCUUGUUUUGUGUAUGAGCACUCUCAGAUCUUAUCAAAGGUGAAAUAAAGCUUAUGGCUGACAUCAUGUGAGUGAGAGCUAGUUUAGAAAUUUUAGGCGGGUUCAGUAGUGCAAAACUAACAUAGCAAGGGGCACCAAACUUCUCAACAGUCCCAAGGCAUAUCCCAGGCAAGCAUAGUAUAUAAGGAAUUAAGGAUUAACCAUGAGCAGCUGAGCUUCCUGGAAACACCCCGUAGUGGCAUACAGAGAUUAAAAAGUGAUCAGAUAGCAUUUCGAUUUUUUGCAAGCUUUGGGAAUUACAGAUUCAUUGCUUAAUAAUUAGAUCUAAUACAGAAUGCAAUGAUUUACAUUACCUUGGUUGUACGAUUUCCAUGUUCUUAAUAUCUUGUGACAGUUGACAUUCAGAGAAUCAACA